rnacentral:rRNA from 1 species
GAUUAACGCUGGCGGCGUGCCUAACACAUGCAAGUCGAGCGGCAGCGAGUUUUACACUGACUUCUGGAAGCUUCUAGUUGAAAGAGAAGAUUGAUUCAAGAAUUUUGUGUAAAAUGUCGGCGAGCGGCGGACGGCUGAGUAACGCGUGGGAACGUAACCCAAAGUGAGGGAUAACGCAUCGAAAGGUGUGCUAAUACCGAAUAUGGUCUUCGGAUUAAAGCCUUCGGGCGCUUUGGGAACGGCCUGCGUAAGAUUAGAUAGUUGGUGGGGUAAUGGCCUACCAAGUCGACGAUCGUUAACUGGUUUAAGAAGAGAAUCAGUCAAACUGGAACUCGCACACGUGCCACACUCCUACGGGAGGCAACAGUGAGCAAUCUACCACAAUCGGCGAAAGCCUGAUGCAGCAACGCCGCGUGCAGGAUGAAGGCCUUCGUGUUCUAACCUGCUUUUAUAAGUGAGGAUUAUAACAGUAACUUAUGAAUAAGGAGCGGCUAACUACGU